AUCUUCUUGCCUCAGCCUCCUGAGUACUGGGAUUAUAGCCAGUGGCGUUGGAAUGGAACUAUCUCUAUCAUAAACUCAUUGAAGACCCACCCACCCUGGGGACUGCACCCCGCCUUGUUUGUCCUCUGUCCUGCCUCAGGCAGGUCAUCAGGCGGCAGGAGGGGCCACAGCAGGAUGGAGUUGGUCCCUAAGAAUUCCAGGGGCGAUUUGCUUUGGUCCUAUGGGAAAACGGAGUAAGAAGCCAGGCCUGGGAGCUCCCAGUAAGCGGAAGGGAGGAAGGGCCAGCAGCCCCACCUGGGUGCAAACAGAUGGAACAAAGGCCGACCCCACCCCGGCCGCCCUGGCGCCAGGGCCUGGGGAACCGUGAAGGCAGCCCUUGCCUGCCCAAGGCGGCCACUGGCAGAGCCUGGAUGCAUGUCCAGCCCUGCCCGGGGCUUUGUGUCCACAGAACCCAAACUGUUUUCGCAGAGCAAGGGCUCCCGGCGAUCUUGGAAGGGAACAGAAGCUUCCCACCGCAGCCCCCUAGUCUGGCUUCUGUGGCUCCCACGAAACUUGCUGAGACUCCAGCCUAGGGUCCUCACCCUUCCCAACUGAACACCCUGGCUUCCCUCUACUCUGGCCCCCAUACCAAGAGCUUGUUACCGGGGGAGGGGGAUCUUUGUGUACCUGUGUGUGUGUGUGUGUGUGUGUGUGUGUGUGUGUGUGUGUGUGUUUUGU